CAGGGCCUUCCUACUGAGCCAUACCCCCAGCCCUGUGUAUUUUCUGAGCCAGGGUUUCGAACUUGGGACCUUCCUCCCUCAGCCUGCCAGCGUGCUGGUGUUCCAGGUUUGCACCACCUCGCCCCGCUGGGUUCUAGCUAUUCCAGAUCGCUGGGGCUACAGCGACGGAUUUCACGUCUCCUCCCCCGCUUACCCGUAAAAUACAAAAAACCACCUCAGUAACAUUAGAACCUGUCACCAAACUGAGAAAUUAACGGUUACCUCCCACACCUCCUGUUACACGGCUAGAAUGUAACACUGGAGUUCAAAUGAGAUCCCAAUCCAGGGCCCAAUCGCUAUCCUAGUCUUUCCAGAGCGGUCUGUUCCAGCCCGAGAGAAACACCAGGGCCUGAACUCUUAGCCUGGUAACGUUCUUCUCUCAAAAGACUGCUUUUCGAGCCGGCGCACACUUUGCAACCCCGGCACCGGGAGGCUGGGUAGGAGGAUCACCACACGUUGGAGGCCGGCCUGAACGGCACAGCAAGACCCUGUCUCCAAACAACGAAGAAAUUUAAAAACUUCUUUUGCUGCUUUUUUAACUUCCCACUCCUCCAAAUUCUGAUUCAAACUGCUAAACUGAUACCCGAGGUGUACAGAAAAAGAACACUUGAGCUAAAAGCGGCCCACAACCCAGUUCUAUCACAGAUGGCUAAAAUGCAAACAUCCCCGAGGCGCUGAAUUUAGUAAUCUGGCGCGCCAAUCUACCCUACUUUGGGCUCAAUAUUUCACACAUGCUGCAGCUCUAGUAACAACGCUCAAAGAACACUUGUUGAUUGGCUAGUACAUUAUGCCGCGAAGGGGCGUUAGGUAGUGCUUAGAAAUACCAUUCACUGUGUAUCCACGAGACUGCAGUCUCGAGAACUAUUCGUUACUUGAAGCACUCAAUUAACAGUGACUCCAACAGUGAUUCGUCAGCAGUAUAAAGCAGUGGUGUUCCUGUUUGUAUUGAAGAUUAAACUAAAAACGUCUCCGCAGUGUUAUGUGAGAACAGAUGCGAAGCAAAUGUUAAUCUUCCAGUCUUAAGACACCAGUUUAAAAUGUGCACUUCCCAAAUAAACCGUUAAAAGCACACGACAGCACGUUGUUCUGCAUUAGUACUGCACUUCAGGAGGAAAUUCCAAGUUGGAGAGGCAUGCAGACCUUUUUUGGCGGCAAGAAAGUAAAUUUAACCCUGUUCUCUCCAUCAUUCCAGCCUUUCCCUAAAAGGCGGGCUAGGACCCGGAUCACAUGACCACGCCUCCAACUCCGGGCGGAAGAGCCCAGCUGGGACAAAGACAAGCGUCCCGAGGGCGUGUGGGAGGGCGUUCGUGCCCGGCUCAAACAUGGCUGCUGCCGCGGGGCAGCCAGCGCCCGAGAGGCUCCUCUAGAGCCCGCAGUUUUCGCCCGUUCCCGCCGAGCGUCUCCUCCUUACCAUGAGGCCGGUGAGCCGCCGCACCCUGGACUGGAUUUAUUCAGCGGUUCUGCUUGCUGUCGUUUUACUCUCCUGGGGAUACGUCAUCUACGCAUCAACGGUAGUUGCGCAGCGACAGCUAAGGAAGAAAUACCCAGACAAAGUCUUCUGGAUGGAUGAAAACCUGUAACUUCUAGGUUUACCUCUCUCCAAGUACAGUUUCUGCCCUCAUGCUUAUGUACUCUGUAGGCUUAAAAUGUGUAAUACAGAAUUCCCAAAUUUA